rnacentral:rRNA from 1 species
AUACAUAGGGUGCGAGCGUUAAUCGGAAUUACUGGGCGUAAAGCGUGCGCAGGCGGUUUUGUAAGACAGUGGUGAAAUCCCCGGGCUCAACCUGGGAACUGCCAUUGUGACUGCAAGGCUGGAGUGCGGCAGAGGGGGAUGGAAAUCCGCGUGUAGCAGGGAAAUGCGUAGAUAUGCGGAGGAACACCGAUGGCGAAGGCAAUCCCCUGGGCCUGCACUGACGCUCAUGCACGAAAGCGUGGGGAGCAAACAGGAUUAGAUACCCUGGUAGUCCACGCCCUAAACGAUGUCAACUGGUUGUUGGGAAUUUAUUUUCUCAGUAACGAAGCUAACGCGUGAAGUUGACCGCCUGGGGAGUACGGCCGCAAGGUUAAAACUUAAAGGAAUUGACGGGG